GCAGGCCCUUGUUGAGCAAGUGCGAGCUGCCCAUCGAGAGGCGCGAGCGGCCGCGGGCCCCGACCACUCCGGCGCGCUGCGCCGCCGCGAGCCCGGCGCGUGGGGCGGCCUCGGCGCCGUCCGCUGCUCCGCCCGCCCGCCUGCGCCUGGCCGCCGCCGUGCCGAGUCUCCGCCGCGCCGCUGAGCCGCGCUCCGACGACCGCGCGGGCGGGGACACGGCGGCGCGCGCGGGCGGGGCCUCGCGGUUGGUCUCCUGGUUCCCAGCGCGGGCGGCGCACGGACUCACGCGGGCGGCUCAGGGCCCGCCCGGCCGGGACGCGGCUGCGGGGCGGGGCGGGGCGGGAGCCUGGCGGGAAGCUCGCGGGGCUGCAGCCCGGCGGAGGCCCCGGGCCUGGUGUUCCGCACGUUCUAAACCGCCUGUCCCCGAGGAAGUCGGGCAGGGUCGGGCCGGACUCAGCGCCGCUGGCGGGAGCGCCGUCCGCCCCGAGGACCCUGCGGGCCCGGAAGCCGAGACAGGGCCGCCCACGUCAGCGCCUGGCGCGGGCCCGAACGUAAAUGGCGCUCCUCCGCGCCGCAGCCGCAGCCGCCCCGCUCCCUUCCCGCUCCGCCAGCUGCCGCCCUCCCGCGCUCGCUUCUCGCCCCGCGGCCUGGCCCGUGCGCCUCCGAGGCUGGCCAGGGGCACCGAGGCCGCGGGCCCCCCAUCGCCCCCACCCGAGCCCUGAUUUACCGUCCGAGAGCCGGCGGCACAUGGGACCCCGAGAGGAGAAGCGCGCCUGCCCCAGUGCGUCCCCAGGCGGGGGAGCCCCGACUCCUGGAGGGACCGCGUCCUGCCCGGCCCGGGAAGUUCAGGGCUGGAGAACCCCUUCCCCGACCCCAUUUCUCUUUUAACAAGAGUAGGGUUUGUAGCUAACCAACGUCCUGACAGCUCAGCUCUGCUUUCCCUUUAAGCAUUAAUAUCAAAGCCCUGCCUGCUACCGGUGAAGCCCCGACCCGGGAGGGCCCGAAAGUCCCUUCAGGGAGAGGCCGCACUGGGCCUGCUCACCCAGGGGCUGCCCCUGCAGACUCUCCCGAGGGGCCCAGGGAUAUUCCUCGCGCCGCGAGUGGACGCUUCCAUCCACCCCAUGGGGAGGGCCUCUGCGCGUGGCUACUCUGAGCCCUCUGGAAUGCCGAGAUAGUUGCAUAAUUUCAGAAACCACGGCAUGGAGACGGAAUGAUGCAGACUCCUAUCCGCGAGAUACCUGCUGUAAUUUCGCUGUGGUUCGUGAGGACGCGUCCUGGGCUGCCCUGAGAAGCCUACGUCUCCCCUUCGAGGCCCGGGAAGACCUCCAACCCCGCUGACAAUGCUGGGCCCUCAGCCAGACCUGCCCUGCGUGCCACGUUCUGUUCUAAGAUCGGGCUGCCGAGCUGUGGCCUGGAGGAAACCUGGCAGGUGUCACCAGAGCUUUGGGGAGGGUGGGGCUGCCAUGAGCAGCAAGCUCAGUCCAGAAGAACAGUUCCUCUCCAGGAUCCACUUCCUGCGCACUUUUAUGUGCAGUGUAGCUGGAGCAGAGCUCCCCGGAAUUCCACAGGCAACUGAGAACGGAGAGGGAUGCAGGCCAGCCAGGGAUCCAGCGUCUUCCCCAUCGUCACUCUCCAUGGCCUCCGUCUACACACAGUGUUCGUCUGCACAGCUUGUCAGCGCGUUAUCAUGACUUCUAUUUGGCACCGGCCCGUCUGUCCACUGUCCUGGCUUGUUCCAAGCGCUGCCUUCUCCAACUGGGGUCCUGGCUGCAGAGCUGUCUGCUCCCCACGUUGGGCAACUCCAGCCAAGAUUCCUACACCCAAAUGUGACCGUGUUGCUCACGAAGAAGGCUCAGCUUUGCGUGUGCCCAGCCGUGUGCACAGCUCGUCCCAACUCCUGCGGGUGGCACCUGCCUCUCCCACCUCCAGUCUUUCCCCUGUGAUGAGCAGAUGACCACCGCCCUCCAGGGUCAGCGUUUGGCUGUUUGUGUGCCUGCCCACCCGCCUCCCUGUGCCUGGGCCUGCCCUGUGCCUGCACACAGGAGUGGCUCAUGGCGUUUGCCCUACACGGAUGGGCUGUCCUGGGAGCUACUGGACAGUCACCUUGGUGGGAAUGCCAGAGGCAUGGGCAUUAGGUCCCCCCGGCCAGCCUCCGUUGCCACAUGGGCUAUUUUUGUCCAUCGCGUGGGACAACCUAGUAUUGGGGGAAAACUCAGUCCACUCUAAAGAAGCAUCGGCGUUUUGGAUGGACGAAUGCUGCUUCAUGCGACUCCAUGUCAAUGGACUAUUUUAUUCAACUCGGGUAUUUAUGAGUGUCUCCUCUGUGCCAGCCACGUGUGAAAGAAGAACUCCAAGUUACUGGACACCAGGACAAACCAGGUAGAUCACUGCAUCCGGUUCCUCCUCUUUCUGCCGACUCUCCCGGGCAACCGUUCUGAUUCCUGGCAUGGAGUUGGGGGCGAGCUCAUCAGUACCCAGAGCGCCUGGUGUGCAGCCAAAGGCCCCCAUUUUAUUAGUCGGUGUGUUCAGUAUCACGCUCAAGACAAGGGCCAACCUAUUACUUCACACACCUCAAAUACAAAAAGUGCCUGGGAACGUCGAUGAGGUAUUAAAGGAAACCACUGGUCUUGUCAGUCAUGUACACACAGAAAAAAAAACCAGUCAUUUUUAUUUUUAUUUUUUGAGACAGAGUUUCGCUCUUGUUGCCCAGGCUGGAGUGCAAUGGUGCAAUUUCAGCUCACUGCAAUCUCUGCCACCCGGAUUCAAGCAAUUCUCCUGUCUCAGCCUCCCGAGUAGCUGGAAUUGCAGACACCCAUCACCACGCCCAGCUAAUUUUAUGUAUUUUUAGUAGAGAUGGGGUUUCACCAUGUUGGUCAGGCUGGUCUUGAACUCCUGACCUCAGGUGAUCCACCCACGUCAGGCUCCCAAAGUGCUGAGAUUACAGGCAUGAACCACUGUGCCCAGCCGAAAACAACCAAGAAUUUUUUAACAAUAAAAUGACCAGCAAGUAAACUUGAAACAAAAAUGGACAAAUAUCUAAAAUAUUUUUAAAUGUAUGUAUUUUAAUUGGCAAAUAAUACUUGUAUAUAUUGUUUACAACUUGUUUUAAAGUAUGAAUACAUUGUGGAAUGGCUAAAUCAAGUUAAUUAACAUGCAUUAACUCACAUACUUUUUGUUUUUUGGUGUGGUGAGGACACUUAACAUCUACUCUCUUAGCAAUUUUCCAGUCACCAUGUCCUACUAUAGAUCCCUAGAACAUAUUCCUCCAAUGUAACUGAAAUGUAUCC
rnacentral:lncRNA from 1 species